rnacentral:lncRNA from 10 species
CCACAGCAGACAGCACCUGGGAGCUCCUAAGAAAGGCAGAGUCCCUGGCACCGCCCACCUGGACUCCUGCACCAGAAUCUGCAUUUUAAGGAGACCCCACAGGAGUUUCCUGGGAACACUGAGGUAGAACAAGCUCUGAGCUGGAGCUGUUCUCAGCCUGUGCGCAGAAACAUCUGGGGAGCUAUUCACACUCCUAGGUCCAGGGCACAGCCCAGAUCAGUGGAACCAGUGUGCCUGGGGGUGUGGGGGAGGGUGAAUUGCAGGGACACCUGUUAACUUUUCCCCAGGCAAGCAGGGCUGAGCGUCUGCUCUAGGCUCACCCACCAGCUUUAGCUCACCUGAGCCUGCAUCUCCAUCUACCUACAUAGUUGCUAAUCAUGGUCUUUGCCUGACCUUCAUCUCUGGACCCUGUGGAUCCAGAAACUUCCACCCUGCCCUCACUCUCCUGUGUGGCCUCUGCAACUCUCAACAGAGCUGCAUCUUGAAACCCUCCUGCAUAUACCACGCUCGGGCCACUCCACACCCAUUAGCCAGCACCUCUGGGUGCAGGCCAGGACAGUGUCAUCUUUCAAUACAUUCCUGCCACCCACGUGCUGCCAUCGACCUCCCUGCACAUCCUCACCUGCCAUCCCCCCAGGCGUGUGGACUGAUGAUUAUCAUUUUCAAAGCAAAUAAACAGAGCCUUCACUAUGGGCUUUUUUGAAAGUCAAAACACUUCCCAUGUUUAGGUUCCUGCUUCUCCAUGCUGAAGACAUGGUGAGAGAAUACAGGGGGAGCUGAAGGCGAACAACAUAAACUUAUGUUUGAGAAGCACCUUUUACUCUAUGAAAUAAAGUGAGUGUAAACAGUAAAUGGAACAACAAGCUUUCAGAGUCAGUGCAGGGCAAGCGCUGGGGAGGGAAGAGCUGGCUGGUCAGGGAGGGUGCACUGGAGAGAAAAACCGUCAAAUUGGCCGGGACAUUCCAGGACAUCAGGGAGACCACACAACAGCCCACUGCAUCCUGGGGUUCUGCUUCUUACCUGAAAGUCGUGGCAACAAGGGCCCCUCGGUGCUCCUGUGACUGCAGAGGACAAUUUGCUUUUUGUUUGUUUGUUUGUUCGUUUUUUGAGACAGGGUCUCACUCUGUCACCCAGGCUGGAGUGAAGUGGCUGGAUCUCUGUUCACUGCAACCUCCGCCUCCCGGGUUCAAGUGAUUCUUUUCCCUCAGCCUCCCUAGUAGCUGGGACUACAGGAAACUGCCACCGUGCCUGGC